UAGGGAAUCUUCCACAAUGGGCGCAAGCCUGAUGGAGCAACACCGCGUGAGUGAAGAAGGGUUUCGGCUCGUAAAGCUCUGUCGUUAAAGAAGAACACGUAUGAGAGUAACUGUUCAUACGUUGACGGUAUUUAACCAGAAAGUCACGGCUAACUACGUGCCAGCAGCCGCGGUAAUACGUAGGUGGCAAGCGUUAUCCGGAUUUAUUGGGCGUAAAGAGAGUGCAGGCGGUUUUCUAAGUCUGAUGUGAAAGCCUUCGGCUUAACCGGAGAAGUGCAUCGGAAACUGGAUAACUUGAGUGCAGAAGAGGGUAGUGGAACUCCAUGUGUAGCGGUGGAAUGCGUAGAUAUAUGGAAGAACACCAGUGGCGAAGGCGGCUACCUGGUCUGCAACUGACGCUGAGACUCGAAAGCAUGGGUAGCGAACAGGAUUAGAUACCCUGGUAGUCCAUGCCGUAAACGAUGAGUGCUAGGUGUUGGAGGGUUUCCGCCCUUCAGUGCCGGAGCUAACGCAUUAAGCACUCCGCCUGGGGAGUACGACCGCAAGGUU
rnacentral:rRNA from 1 species